rnacentral:rRNA from 1 species
UGCAGUCGAGCGGAUGAGAGGAGCUUGCUCCUCGAUUCGCGGCGGACGGGUGAGUAAUGCCUAGGAAUCUGCCUAGUAGUGGGGGACAACGUUUCGAAAGGAACGCUAAUACCGCAUACGUCCUACGGGAGAAAGUGGGGGAUCUUCGGACCUCACGCUAUUAGAUGAGCCUAGGUCGGAUUAGCUAGUUGGUAGGGUAAAGGCCUACCAAGGCGACGAUCCGUAACUGGUCUGAGAGGAUGAUCAGUCACACUGGAACUGAAACACGGUCCAGACUCCUACGGGAGGCAGCAGUGGGGAAUAUUGGACAAUGGGCGAAAGCCUGAUCCAGCCAUGCCGCGUGUGUGAAGAAGGCCCUCGGGUCGUAAAGCACUUUAAGUUGGGAGGAAGGGCUUACAGCGAAUACCUGUGAGUUUUGACGUUACCGACAGAAUAAGCACCGGCUAACUUCGUGCCAGCAGCCGCGGUAAU